rnacentral:lncRNA from 1 species
GUGUGUAUAUAUAUAUAUAUCCCAUCUUUUUUUUUUUUUUUUUUUUUUUUUUUUUUUUUUUUUUUGAGAUGGAGUCUCACUCGGUCGCCCAGGCUGGAGUGCAGUGGUGUGAUCUCGGUUCACUGCAAGCUCUGCCCUCCGGGUUCACGGCAUUCCCCUGCCUCAGCCUCCUGAGUAGCUGGGACUACAGGCACCCGCCACGACGCCCAGCUAAUUAAAAUAUAUAUCCCAUCUUAAAAAAUAAAUGGCAUUAAACAAACAUUAAAAAAAUGAUAGAAGGGGAACACACAAUCACACACAGCAUCACUGACUAUUGCCAGUCACUAUGUACCUAUUAUUCUGGGUAUUGUUUAAUUGGAAACAUCACCAUUUUAGAAUCUAAGAUUAAGGGGAAUCUACCUAGAACAGACAACAGAAAGCAUUCCAACUAUGAAAUAUGAUAAAUGGCCUAUGUUUAAAAGAUGCUGGAGAGUAUCCAAGAAAGACUGCUAGCUUAGAAAUUUAUAAAGGAGAUGAAAUGAAGAAUGUGAUAUUAUCUGUGCUUAUGUAUCUGUUAGAAUUCAAUGAUACCUAUUUCUUGUUGAAAAGUGGACUGCCCUCCAUUCUGAGUGUAGUACGAAUUAAAAAGACUUCUUUUUUUAAAGAGUUAAGUUGAAGAAGGGCUGAGCUGGCUUCCAAGGCACUAAUUAAGGAAUCCAAGCCUGUACUAUAUAGGAUUCUUUAGGGAUCUGCAGAUAUUUCCAUUCUAAUUUUCCAGAGACAAAAAUGUAACCGGGAGAAAAUUAGAAAAAGAAAGUGACCUGUGGCAUUUGACUACUACUUUGCAAACUGGCUUAUUAUUAACAGUUUUCAACAUUUAAUUGAUCCCCCACUUAAAAAUUCUCACCUUAUUGAGUUCAAUGGCUGAUCGUCUAUGAUCAUAAGGCCAUCCCCAACAUAUACACAUUAUUUGAGUCACUGUGAGAUAAUGUAAUAAAAGCAUCUGAAGCACUAGUUUCAUUUAAACAGAGACAUGCCCUCAACAUCAAGAAUAGAAAGUCUUGCGCUUGAGUUUUUCUUUAGAGAUGCAGAAUUAGCUCAAGGAAUGGAUGGAAAUGACAUUUUUUGGUAACUGAUUUUAAGGUCUCGAAUACUUUUAUGGAAAUAAGUAUCCUGCGCAUUUUAUAUGCCCUUGAUCUUGUGAGUUUUUCUAGAGGCAUAAUAUUAAUUUCAGUUAACUUGUUAAAAUUAUUCUUUCAGAAUUUCUAAGUGUCUCAAAAGUUAAAUGAAUUGGGGAAAAAUGUUUCUUAUUCUAAAAAAGAGGUAUGCAUGUAUAUAUAUAAAAGGAAGGAAAAAGGAGAAAAAUCCUCUUUUUGAUAUUUGCAGGAAAUAUCUGAGGUUUAGCUUGGGAGGCGAUGGGGCAAUCCAGGGCGAGAAAUGAUGUCUUGAAUAAUUAAGGUGACUACUCCUGACCUUCAACUAAACAGACUACCUUCCUGUCUACCCUGAAGGUAUCACUUUGGUGUUGCUAUCCACUGAUUCACUUCUGCAAACUUCCCUGACAGAAGAAAGGAGGACUUGCAGCUGGACACUGCUCCCUGGCUCUUCGGAGCGGUUUCUUUACACUAUGCAUGGACCACAGAUCAUCUGCUGCCAUCCUACUCAGGGAGAGCUUGCUAAAGAUGCAUGGUCCUGGCCCCCACCCAAAACCUCUGACUUUGAAUCCAUGUCAGAAAUCGUUUAAUUUAUGUACUUACUUGUUUAUCUGUUUUGUUCACUGCUAUAUCUUUGGCUCCUAGAAAAGUACUAGGAACAUGGUAGAUACUCAAUAAAUAUGUACUGAAUAAAUGAAAAAAAAAAAAACCAACAAAAGAAAGGGAAGGAAAAGGGAUUGCCUUCAUGUUUCUCCCACCUCCUCAAGUUGUUUUUUUUUUUUUUUUGAGACGGAGUCUCGCUCUGUCUCCC